GGAAAAUGAGGUGACAGUGUGGCCCCAAAACACCUUCACUGCAAGGGACCUAGAGAGAAAAGCUUUCAUAUCUGCAGCUCUGCUUCCCAUCUCAGAUGCCCAGUUUGCUUGUUCAACGUAGUAAAAUGUGGCUAAGCAUCUGCUGUGUGCCAGGCACUGAGCAUAGAUUUAGAGAAACAAAGACAAAUUAUACAUCUCUGAAAUGCUACGGUCUCCUCAAGUUUGUUCAGAGUGAGUUCUCAGGAUGAACUGCAGCAAAAUGACCUGGGCUUGUUAAACGCAGUAGGCGUCAGAACCCUCCAGACCCAGAUCUCCUAAUGCAGAAUGUCACAGAGUGGGGCCUGGGCACUUACAAUUUUGAAAGAUCCCUUGUGGCCACAUUCACUAUAAAGUUUGAGAACCUGUGAAAAUUAGCUACCUAAAAAACCAAAAACAAAUAUAUCGUAAAAAGAAGGAAGUUAAAACCACUUGCUUUAAUCCUACCAUCCUAAGAUAAUCACCCUUAGCAUUUUAUUGACUGCUCCUCUGGAAGUGUGUAUAUAUAUUUAGACACAUACUGUAGAAUCCAUGGUACCCAACUCUGCGCUAGGCCUGGGGGUAGGUGAGAGGCAAAAAAGAACUCCUCAGCUGUCGUGCUUCUGCAGUCGUGUGAAAUGAUGCCUGGCACAGCUCGAAGCCCAGCCUUGUGCAUCUGCUCACCUGCUCUUACCUUUUCCCACAGGUCUACAUUAUCAACGUGACCUGGUCCGACUCUACCUCCCAGACCAUCUACCGGAGGUACAGCAAGUUCUUUGAUCUGCAGAUGGUGUCUUUGCCUUGGGUGGAUCGUAGGUCACCAGGAGGGGCUUUGGGUCCCACCAAGCAAUCCCGACCUCCUCCGGGGCCAAUGGAAAGAUGCUGGGCUGCACCCUGCCCUUCCUGCCUGCACCCCGCAAGCACCUCAUGGGAGUUCUGCUGCAGAUCUGCAUGGGAGCUCCAGACCCAGUUUUUCCUUUUUGCUCCCCAACUGUGUCCACUUCAGCCUGAUACCCAUCCCACCCGCUUUGGCACACACUAAGAUGUGAAGCCGGAUGUCCCUUGGGGUUUGCAUCCUCAAAGCUCGGCAGGGCCUGACUGCUCUGUAUGUGGAGCAACCUGGGCACAAGCUGUUUCUGGUGUCGGGCAGGAGGGAGGCGGAAGUCGGAGGGCUUGUGCUAGGAGGAGAGCAGUGUCCCCUCUGAGGUGACCCAUGGCAUCAUUGAGGCCUCUACAGGGCACUCGGAACUCUAGUGGCACAUUGGGGAGCUCUCCACAGGACAGGUUGAAGACAGAGAAGCCAGAGACCACAGAGAGUGGGUGGUGGCUCCUUCUGUACCCUCUGGAGCUAGUUGCAGAGCAGAGCCGUGUCGCGAUGCCUUCCCACCCCGCCACCCGCCUGCCGCACCGACUGCUGCUCCGGCGCUGGAUCAGGGUUGCCAGCCAAACACGAGAUGUGCUAUUAGUUUGCUGAUAAACAACAGAUCCUUUUUCAAGUAUAAGUAUGUCCCAGAUACUGCCUGGGAAGUACUAAUACUAAAAAAGAAGGUUGUUUGUUCUUUGUGGUUCUACUGUGUUUUCAUUUGCUAAACCUGGCAGCCUGCCCCAGCUUGGAGGGUGAGUGGUAGGGGGGAAGCUAUACAGGUGACCGUCCCAGCUGGCUGGGGUGAGAGUAGAUUGGCCUCCCGGCAAUCACUCCUGGCAGGCACAAGUGCAGAGGCGAGGGACAAGAAGUGGAGAAGGACGGGCCCUUCCUGCAGGGGCUGGUACCCAGAGGCUAAAGGCUUCUAAACAAUGAAGUCCACUGCAAAUGGGAUAAAUACCAAAUUGAAGUGUGAGCAAUAUGCUCUGGGGUGAAGAGAAAGGAAAGCAUUCUUCUUGAGAAUGACUGAUGGCAGCAGCCUGGAGGGACUCAGCCACUGUCGAUGUCCCCCCAAAGCCUCAUGCGAAUGAGGCGGCCCGUUUCAGAGGUGGCUGAAUCUAGAGUGUGUGAUUGAUUCAUGGUGCAGUGCUAGGCCUGAGGGCACUGGGACUAAGGGUGUGAGUGCUUCCCGCCCUAAAUAGUCUGCAUAAGAUAAAAGGGACAGAAGAUGCUGUUAAGGCCUCUUGUUGCUUUUGCUGUCUUCUGCAGCCGUGAACUGUUACCCCUUUGCCCCCCUGCCUUGGAGCCAGCUGACUUGGGACUGAAACCUCUACAAACUGUAAACCAAACAGACCUUUUCCCCUUUAACUAUCGGUGUCGGGUGCUUUGUCUCAGCAACAAGAGAAAAGUAACCGAGACAGCCAUAUACCCUUAUCCCCGUUUCGGGGGAUUUGGUUGUUUUUUGAGAAUCACAAUUAUUGCGGUUAAAUGUGUCUCUAAUUUAUUUGUUAGUUCAUUUAUUCAUUUAUUUCUGCUUCCCUCCUCCCUCUCUUCAAUCCUUCUUUCCAUGCAUCCAGUGGUAAAUGUCUGCCUCCUCUGUCCUGAGCAGUGGGCUAGACUCUGGGGAUACAGUAAUGAGCAAACUCAGAUCUGGUUCCUGUUUUCGUGGGAGUUACAGCUUCUACUUUUAAAAAGCCAAACAGUUAAUAUGUUCUGCUCUUCCAGAGGUGCCAUGAACCUGUGACGAGGAAACCUUACACUCUGGGAUGGGACAGACUGCUUGAAGAAGUAACAGAUGGAUGAGUUAUUCCAUCUAAUUUUACUUUUGAGACCAGUGAUUGUUUCAGGGAAAGCAAACGCCUCUCCCCAGACAAAUGCAUGCAUGUUACACAGGCCCCGGGGAAGCACCCCCUGCCAAGGCUUUAGUGUUGUGUGGGCCGAUGCUGUAGCCACUAGCCACAUGUGGCUGUUUACAUAUAAUUUUAACAUUUAAAAAUUAAAUUUCAAACGUUAAGUGUUUAGUCCCUCAGUCAUAGUUGCCCUGUCACUAGCUUGGGUGUGUACCGAGCAGACAGGCCAUUCGGCCAUCACAGAGGGUAUGUCACACUGUGCCGCCACGGGCCUCUGACACACAAGCUCAGCCUGGCUUUACACCCACCCCAGAGUGCCCUGCAUCCUUCCACCCUUCUGCAAGUCACCUCCUAAAAAUUCUGGGGCUCCAGCAAGGAGAAGGAGACCGUGUUCUUGCAGGAUCGGCCCUACUGACAGAGCGUUUCAGCUGAACAGCUCAUCCAAACACCUCUUCUGGAAACUGGGUCAGCUCAAGAGCCUUUCACGUGUCAAGCUGAGAACAAGGAAGAAGUGAGGCUCUUUGUUGGUCUUCUAAAAACAAGUCACCACCCAGCCCUGUGUGUGUGUGGCAGGAGGGGCCUGUCCCAGAGGAGCCAGCCAGGACGGGUCUAACGUUGAAGCCUGUCUGGCUGUAAAGGGCUGGCUUGCUUGGAGGUGAGUUAAGGCAGCUGGCGGGGGCCACAGAUGUCCUCCUCUUAAGCCACCUUCUCUGGCAGCUGGCCCGCGCUUCCCCGUUCCGUCAGCUUCCUUGGCCAGGCCCUUCAUUCAAGUGUCUGCUCCAUGACCCAGUCUCGCCGAGAAAGGACCGGAAGGCUCUCUGAAGCCUGCCCCGUGGCAGGUCAUUUCACAACCUGGCCUGCGGGGUGCUGGGCUGCAGUAAUUUCUCGGCAAACAUUGGCUCCACGGUGCCCUUCAGUCUGAACCCCGCCAGCGAGUGCAGCGGUCAAUAUUUGAUCAGAGCUGGGAGAGGCCCUUUAGUUUCCUCCACAGCACUCGGAAGGCAGCUGAGAGAGCUGUUGAGGUUUGCUCGCUUGCUCUGAAGGACUUAACCUGUCUGGAGAGCUUUUCCCUCCCCCCGUGUCCAUCUCUUCAGACUCUCACCACUGACCCCAGUGGGGUCCCACUUGUUUUCCAGCUCUCUAGUGGCCUGGCUGCUGAUCCUUAGCAAAGCCGUGACCCCCAAAUCAUUAAUAACCAGCCCUGGAAUGGAUGUGGGUGUUAAAAUGGAGAUUCAGGGGAUCACUGCAUGUUUAGAAUUAGAAGGGUUCUUGUUCUAAGUCCUUCACUCUGCAGGUAAAGAACUCUGUUGAUCUUUCUGUUCGUGAAAUGUAUAGGAGCUUUACUUUGGUGUGAUGUCCAGCGUGGGCCUCCACUGAGGUCAGACCGAUGAGCCUUGUGAUGGUCCACCUGAGAAUAAGGAAAGGAGAAACCCUGUCCUCCAGGCACGCUGCCUCCUAAGUGUCCAGGGAAUUUUCUUGAGAUCGUUGAGUGUAGGUGAGAAGCAAGGGGUCAAAGCCUGGGGAGGCAGCUUGCCGAGUUCUAGGGAGAGUUUUGUGCCAAGGAUUUCAUGGGGUCUGGACACCUUCCGCUGUGGCACAGGCUGCCAGCUCCAGCAGGGCAAGGAGCAGCUGACCUGUGCACUGGCUCACACACCCUCAGCGGGGAGCUGUGGCCUUGGCCGAGGUCGGUCUCAGUCCCCAAAGGGUUUGGGGAGCCGCGUGCUGUUUGGUGUGAAGAAAUGGGUGACAGCCUGAGGCCGUCCACGGAGGGUUGCCAAGUAAACCUGGCAUUCCCACACCGCUUAGCACAACAGUCCAAACAAAGGAGAUUGCUCCCAGGUCUAGGGAUGGAUCCCAAGAAAUGCUAACGAAUCAACAAAGAGUUUCAAAGUACUGUUUACCGUAUGAUAGCAAUUAUGCAAACAAGUAUAACAACCACAUAUAUCUUUUGUAGCACAUACAUAAUAUGUGUAUAUAAAGAUUUUUAAAGAUCUAGAAGGAUGUACUGCAGAUUAGUAGCAGAGUUAUUUCUAGAUGGGGCAAGGAAUAUUAAAAGGUACAGAGGCUUGGUCAAAGGGGACCUUUAACCGUAAUAUGUUACUGUUUUCAGAAAAGGAGAGUGCACUUAUUAUGUGUAAUGUUAAUAUUUAAUAAUUAGAGGCACAUGUGGAAAGAGGAGGAAAAAGUGGGAAAUCUAGAAUAACAUAUGUCUUGUAUGGUCAUUACGGUAAAAUAGGACAGAAAAGGUAGAUUAAAAAAUAGACACAAAGGAUAUAUCUAGCAAGAGAAAGAAAAAUAAUUAUUAAAAUCACAUUACCUUCUGUUGCCUGGUCCGUCAUUCUAGCCCAUUCUGUGGAAUGUAACUGGUUAGAUCUCAUCGCAGCCAAUCCCAGGGACCUAGCCAGAUUAUCUUGUCAAACGGGAAUCUUGCAUUCAAAUAUUGCUUGAAGUCUAUGAACUUUGUAUUGGAGCAAAAGCCCUUUGGCAGUGGUUCCUGUGUCCUAACAAAACUGUGGUGAGUCAGGUGGUGGGGACAGCACAGUAGUUAGGGUACACACGCUAGGACCAGGGAGGUGGGGUUCCAAGAUUGGCUCCAGCCCUUGCUGACUGUUAAGCCUUUGAAGAGUCAUUUAACCCUCGGUCCCUCAGCUUUUCUGACCCUUGUAAGUGGGGUCAGCCAAAGACCUGCCUGUAGGAUGGCAGAAAGAAUGACCUGAGAUAAAGUGAGAAAUCCCUGAAGAUACUGAGUGAGGUAGAGAUCCUAGACACAGGAGCUGAAACAUUACUAAUUAGGCCCCUAACAAUUUGACUCCAAGGGGAAAUAGCCAGAGAUUCUUCCUCAUGUGGGGACACAGGUUUCUUUCUGCCCAUUCAUAUAGAUUUCACUUUCACCAAAUGCCCCACGCAGUCUGCCUCCAGAGUAUAAUUACUGACCCAUUUCCUCCUACCAACACUGUUAGGAAAACAGCGUUUCUAAAAAAGUAAUUACUGGUUGGGGCCAGGGAUUUAGCUUAGUGGUUCUGCCACCUGCCUCACAAGCACAAGAACCCAAGUUCGAUCCCCCGUACCCAGAAAAAAAAAAAAAAAGUAAUUACUGGUUGACAGUUUUUCCUUGCUCUUGGAAAGAGGCAUCUUUCAGGGCCCUAGUGGGACACAGGGCUUUCGCAUGCAUCCCAGGGCGUGGUCUCGUGAACGUCCUUUUGGGUACCUGUGCGCGUUUGAUCCAGGAACACACCUCCCAGCCCUAGGGAGUGCAGCCGUGUCCAGUUCCUAAGGUCCGUAAGGCCCUGUCAGAUCAGGCCCCCAGGCGUCACGCUUGUCACAAACCUGGUAUUAACCAUGUUUGCUGGGUGGAAUUGUAAGUUUUCCAUCCAGAGGCCCUCAGAGGCCCUCAGAGGUCGCUCUGCCAGGAUGAUGAGUAUCCACGCUCAUUUUUGCCACAUUCUGGUCAGGCCCAGAACAGACAUCAUUCAUUGAUCAGGCACUCUCAUCCCACACCUUUGGGAGACAUCGUUAGUCGAUCGGAAGCCCAGACAUGGUCUCAGAACCUUUGUAAAACUCAAAACCAGGUGUCAGCUGGCAUGGCCCCCUUGACAUGAAAAACUGACUGGAAUUCGGAUUCCAAACUGACUAGGACUCCAGACCUAGAGGUGAGGAGGCAGAAAGCUCCUGCCCCAUCAGAGUCGCUGAGAGGGCUCCUGGUAGAAGGUGGACAGACAGUGCUGGUGUCAACAGCGGAAGACCUCCCUGUGGUCCGCAGAAAGGCCCACAGCAGCCCUGUCUCGGGCUGCGCUGCUGCCCGGAGCCCGGCCUACACCGCCUGCUCCGCCCCUGCCCUCCUCGUUGAAUAAUCCGAGGUGGGAGUGUCUGAGUCGGGCACACCACGGCCACUGCUCAGAGACCCACACCGUGUUCUCCAG
rnacentral:lncRNA from 1 species